GCCAACAGAAGGGACUGAGGGACUACUGCAACAACCACUAUUGAGACCCCCUUCUCCAGUGGUGCAAUCUGAACCAUGUUUGCAAAAUGAGAUGGCACCUCCAGGGUUCGAGAAUUUUAAGUCAUCAUCUGAACCAUGUUCAGCAGAGGAGAUAGCACCUCCAGGGUCCGAUAAUUUCAAAUCAUCAUCUGAACCAUGUUUACCAGAGGAGAUGGCACCUCCAGGGUUUGAAAAUUUUAAGUCAUCAUCUGAACCAUGUUCACAAGAGGAGAUGGCACCUCCAGGGUUUGAGAAUUUUAAGUCAUCAUGGCCACCACUUCCCACUCUGCCCCAAACUGUACCAGAUGCAGCCGCAGCGGAUGCUUUGGCAGCAAC
rnacentral:lncRNA from 1 species